GACGAACGCUGGCGGCGUGCCUAAUACAUGCAAGUCGAGCGAAGUUUUUCUGGUGCUUGCACUAGAAAAACUUAGCGGCGAACGGGUGAGUAACACGUAAAGAACCUACCUCAUAGACUGGGACAACUAUUGGAAACGAUAGCUAAUACCGGAUAACAGCAUUAACUGCAUGGUUGAUGUUUAAAAGUUGGUUUUGCUAACACUAUGAGAUGGCUUUGCGGUGCAUUAGCUAGUUGGUGGGGUAAAGGCCUACCAAGGCGACGAUGCAUAGCCGACCUGAGAGGGUGAUCGGCCACACUGGGACUGAGACACGGCCCAGACUCCUACGGGAGGCAGCAGUAGGGAAUCUUCCGCAAUGGGCGAAAGCCUGACGGAGCAACGCCGCGUGAGUGAAGAAGGAUUUCGGUUCGUAAAGCUCUGUUGUUAGGGAAGAAUGAUUGUGUAGUAACUAUACACAGUAGAGACGGUACCUAACCAGAAAGCCACGGCUAACUACGUGCCAGCAGCCGCGGUAAUACGUAGGUGGCAAGCGUUGUCCGGAAUUAUUGGGCGUAAAGCGCGCGCAGGUGGUUUAAUAAGUCUGAUGUGAAAGCCCACGGCUCAACCGUGGAGGGUCAUUGGAAACUGUUAAACUUGAGUGCAGGAGAGAAAAGUGGAAUUCCUAGUGUAGCGGUGAAAUGCGUAGAGAUUAGGAGGAACACCAGUGGCGAAGGCGGCUUUUUGGCCUGUAACUGACACUGAGGCGCGAAAGCGUGGGGAGCAAACAGG
rnacentral:rRNA from 1 species